AGCUCCAAUAGCGUAUAUUAAAGUUGUUGCAGUUAAAAAGCUCGUAGUUGAAUUUCGGGUAUUUGUUGCUAGCUGGUCUCAAUGGCCAUGUUGGUUAACAGAUCCUCAUUUGCUGGAUAAUUGGCGAUGAUCUUUAUCGGUUGUCGUCAGUUGCCAGAACGUUUACUUUGAGAAAAUUAGAGUGCUAAAAGCAGGCUCACGCCUAUAUAUAUUGCAUGGAAUAAUGAAAUAAGAUCUCGAUUUUAUUUCGUUGGUUUUAGAAAUUGAGAUAAUGAUUAAUAGGAUCAGAGGGGGGCGUACGUACUGUGGUGUGAGAGGUGAAAUUCUUGGAUCGCCACAGGACGAACAGCAGCGAAGGCGUUCGCCAAGAAUGUUUUCA
rnacentral:rRNA from 1 species